rnacentral:lncRNA from 1 species
UCAAUCACAAGUUGUCAGCCAAGAUGCAUUUCCACCUCGUAUACAUGUAUUUUGAAUGCAUCAGUAGUGGUAUAUACAUUGAGUUCUAUAUGGAUGGUAUUAUAAACUCAAUCUGUCCACCAACUGUGGUAGCAAAGAAAUCAGACAGAUCACAAAACACUUUUCAACACAUACACAAAAAGGACAAAGCUGCCUACAGCAUCGGUGUUAGCACCAUAUGUACAGGUGUGUGUUACUUUAAUAAGCUCUCCCAGCAGCACCAAAUGGGGUUCCUCUAUCUUGAGCAGAGCUUUUGCCACCACCUUACAGUAGUGGAAGGCCUGAGAAACCAGACCACAGUCCAGCAACCUGCAUGCAUAUAGGAAUUUAUACACCUACACAGAACACAACACAAUAAUAACUAUUCAAUAGAUAAAAUAUACAGUAUGAACACACACUGAACCAUAGUAAAACAACAAAAAAUAUAUAAAUAUAUAAAAUAUAUAAUUAUAAUUAUAUAAUAAGUGAUAUAAUCUGCACGAUUUGAAAAUUAAGAAGCGCUUAUGAUCAUAUCAAAUAAUGACCUAUACAAAUCUGACAUAAACAGUCAUAAAUUAGGAUACACAGUUGGGUAUAAAAGACUGAGACUACACUGAAUGGGAUGUAGAACAGGAAUGAAAAAUACAGAAUUUCCAAGCCUCUGGCAGUACUCAAAGAGUUCAGUACAGCGAAUAGCUGAGUUGUGACAGAACUUGGAAAACAGAACACUGCAAUCAAAGAAUUAAAUGGAAGAGCCAUUGUAUUCGGGAACUCAGCCAUUUAGAUAUCUUAGUGUCCAUGCUGAAUCCUCACCUUUGCUUGCUGCCCAGAAGCACAAGGCAUUCAGAUUUGUUUGUAUACCAGCCAAAGGGACACUGAGCUGUGAGGUAGCAGAUCUGGAAAGCAUACAGCAUAUCCUUGGAGGCUGAGAUGAAACAUAAAGUCAAGAUCUACUUUGAGAAUCAUUUGAUAUUAGACCAUUGGGAUCAGCAUUUAUAAACAUUUUGAACUCUAUUGGGGUCAGACAACACGUGUCAAAGCCUACUCACUGUCGUAUUUAUACUUUAGAUUUAAUACUGUCACAUGGAGUUGAUGUUAAUGGCUUUGAAAUUCUGCAGCAGUUAUGAUAUCUCAGAUCAUUAUCUAGUCUUGUGUGUACUCCAUAUAGCUAAAGCUGCAAACUCAACUCCUUAUUACAAAUAUGGUAAACCAUCACUUUUACAAUGAAAGACUGCUUUGUAAAUAAUCUUCCUGAUUUGUCUCAAUUCCUCAGCAAAUCCAAUAGCUCAGAAAAACUUGAUGUUGUAACAGAAACUAUGAAAUCCUCUAUCUUUUCUAGCACUUUAGAUACGGUUGCUCCUUUACACUUAAAGAAGAUUAAGGAAAACAGUCCGAUAACGUGGUAUAAUGAGCACUCCUGCUCCUUAAAGAGAGCAGCCCGGAAAAUUGAACGCAGCUGGAAGAAAACAAAACUAGAGGUAUUUUGUAUUGCAUGGAGGUAAAGUACUUCUACUUAUAGUAAAGCUCUAAAAACUGCAAGAUCUGCUUACCCCAGGCAUUUAUUCAAUACAGUGGCUAAAUUAACAAAAAAUAAAUGAAUAAAUAAAUAAAGCGUCAACAGGUGUAGACAUUUCCCAACAGCACAGCAGUAAUGACUUUAUGAACUUCUUUACUUCCAAGAUCGAUACUAUUAGAGAUAAAAUUGUAACCAUGCAGCUGUCAGCUACAGUAUCGCAUCAGACACUAUAGAUCCCUUUAAGAACAAUUCCACUCAUUCUCUGCUAUAGGAAAGUAAGAAUUGUAUAAACUUAUCAAAUCAUCAAAACAAACAAAAUGUACACUCCCCUCCAAAAGUAUAGAAACAGUGAGGCCAAUUCCUUUAUUUUUUGCUGUAGACUGAAAACAUUUGGGUUUGAAAUAAAAAAAGAUGAAUAUCAAGAGAUUUACAUGCCAGCUUUUAUUUCCUGGUAUUUACAUCUGGAUCUGACAAACAACUUAGAAGAUAUCUACCUUUUGCUUAAUAUUUAGUUGCAAAUCCUUUGCUUUCAAUAACUGCAUCAAGCCUGUGACCCACUGACAUCACCAAACUUUUGCAUUCUUCUUUUGUUAUGCUUUUCCAGGCUUUAAGCGCAGCCUCUUUCAGUUGUUGUUUGUUCACUUCUUGCCCCUGAUGAACUCCUUUGUUGUUUUGGCAGUGUGUUUUGAGUCAUUAUCUUGCUGCAUGAUGAAGGAUCUCCCAAUAAGUUUGGUUGCAUCUUUCUUUAAAUUGGCAGACAAAAUGUUUCUGUAGACUUCUGAGUUCAUUUUGCUGCUGCCAUCAUGUGUUUAAUUAUCAAUGAAGAUUAAUGAGCCUGUCCCAGAAGAAGCCAUGCAAGCCAAAGCCAUGACAUUACCUCGACUGUGUUUCACAGAUGAGCUUAUAUGUUUGGGACCAUGAGCAGAUCUUUCUUUCUUCAAACUUAAGCCUUUCCGUCACUUUGGUAAAGGUUAAUCUUUGUCUCAUCAGUCCAUAAAACAUUGUCCCAGAAUUUUUGAGGCUCAUCUGUGUACUUUUUGGCAAAUUCCAGCCUGGCCUUCCUAUUUUUCUUGCUAAUGAGUGGUUUGUAUCUUCUGGUGUAGCCUCUGUACUUGAGAUCAUGAAGUCUUCUGCGAACAGUAGAUUGUGAUACCGUCACCCCUGCCCUCUGGAGGUUGUUGCUGAUCUCACUUACAGUUGUUUGAGGGGCUUUCCUGAAAGCUCUCACAAUAUUUCUGUCAUCAGCUGCAGUUGUUUUCCUUGGUCUACCUGUUCGAUGUCUGUUACUUAGUACACCAGAGGCUUCUUUCUUCUUCAGGACAUUCCAAAUGGCGGAAAUGGCUAUGUUAUUCCUUCUUCUCUCAGCUUCACAAAUGCUUGUUUUUCACCCAUAGACAGCUCUCUGGAUUUCAUGUUGGCUACACCUCUUAACUAUAGAUGCAGUUUGAACAGGCAAAACCCAAAUCUGAAACUGAGCAUUGACAUUUAGUGCUAAUUAUUGUUUGAAUUUUUUUUUUACAUCAAGAUGGCGGCGCGUCCACACGCAGCGGCUUCUCUCUGUCCCGACAGAACGGUGUUUUCGUGUUUUUUGUCUUGUGAGUCGCAGUGUUUUUGUACGUCGUCAUCGCGUCUAUCUGUCUUUAAGCGCGCAUACAGUCGUGAGUUUCUGCUGGAUGUCGGCAGAGCCGCAUUUUUAGAGUUAAACUCCGCGCACGCGGAACUGCUGCGAGAUCUCGAACUGCUCCGGAGGCCUACAUCAUCACCGACCCCCUCUACUGCAUCUCGCCCACAGCGGAGGCGCCACAAGCGGCGUGAGAGGAAGCAGAAGAGGGGUAAGCGGCGGAGGUAUCCGGGGCUAGGCUAACGGCUAACCCACACAGCCAUCCAUCCCCAACCGUCGUACUGGCUAACGUACGCUCUUUGGACAAUAAACUUGGACUACAUCCGAUUACUACGUUCAACUCAGAGGACUGUAAGAGACUGUUGUGUGUUUGUAUUCACGGAAACAUGGCUCAGCGACAGCGUUCCGGACUGCGCCAUUCAGCUCGACCAGCUGACGUGCUAUCGAGCAGACAGAGCUCGCGUCGCGGGAGGAAAAACCCGCGGCGGCGGGCUUUGUGUUUACAUCAAUGACGCGUGGUGCCGCGAUGCUGUUGUGAUCUGCAAACACU